CCCUUAGAGUUUGAUCCUGGCUCAGAAUCAACGCUGGCGGCGUGCCUAACACAUGCAAGUCGCACGAGAAAGUGGAGCAAUCCAUGAGUACAGUGGCGCACGGGUGAGUAACACGUGACUUAUCUACCUCCGAGUGGGGAAUAACCUAGAGAAAUCUGGGCUAAUACCGCAUAACACUUACGAGUCAAAGCAGCAAUGCGCUUGGAGAGGAGGUCGCGGCAGAUUAGUUAGUUGGCGGGGUAAUGGCCCACCAAGACGAUGAUCUGUAUCCGGCCUGAGAGGGCGCACGGACACACUGGAACUGAAACACGGUCCAGACUCCUACGGGAGGCAGCAGUGGGGAAUUUUGCGCAAUGGGGGAAACCCUGACGCAGCAACGCCGCGUGGAGGAUGAAAUCCCUUGGGAUGUAAACUCCUUUCGAUUGGGAAGAUUAUGACGGUACCAAUAGAAGAAGCCCCGGCUAACUUCGUGCCAGCAGCCGCGGUAAUACGAGGGGGGCAAGCGUUGUUCGGAAUUAUUGGGCGUAAAGGGUGCGUAGGCGGUUUGACAAGUCUGAUGUGAAAUCUAUGGGCUCAACCCAUAGCCUGCAUUAGAAACUGUCGGGCUUGAGUAUGGGAGAGGUGAGUGGAAUUUCCGGUGUAGCGGUGAAAUGCGUAGAUAUCGGAAGGAACACCUGUGGCGAAAGCGGCUCACUGGACCAUAACUGACGCUGAGGCACGAAAGCUAGGGGAGCAAACAGGAUUAGAUACCCUGGUAGUCCUAGCCCUAAACGAUGAUUGUUUGAUGUGGCAGUACCCAAUCCUGCCGUGUCGAAGCUAACGCGAUAACAUCCGCCUGGGGAGUACGUCGCAAGCUGAAACUCAAAGGAUUGA
rnacentral:rRNA from 1 species